UACGUAGGGGGCAAGCGUUGUCCGGAAUUAUUGGGCGUAAAGAGCGCGUAGGCGGUCCGAUAAGUCGGCUGUGAAAGUCAAGGGCUCAACCCUUGAAAGCCGGCCGAUACUGUCGGACUAGAGUCCGGAAGAGGCAAGUGGAAUUCCCGGUGUAGCGGUGAAAUGCGUAGAGAUGUGGAGGAACACCAGUGGCGAAGGCGACUUUCUGGUCUGUAACUGACGCUGAGGCGCGAAAGCGUGGGGAGCAAACAGG
rnacentral:rRNA from 1 species